rnacentral:lncRNA from 1 species
CUCCAGGCCCCGCCCCCGGCCCCGCCCCCGGCCCGCCGGCCGCUCGGAUCUGAGACCACUCCCCAGCCUCCAGCGCCCGAAAUUCGAGGACCGUUGCCCACACGCCACCGUUUGCCCCGGCGGCCGAGGCGGCAUGUGCAGACACGUCCUGGUCAGCACGCACGCACGGAGGAAUACUCCCUCGGGGUCCCGGGGCAAAGCCUUCCCCAGCCAGGACAAACUCCAGCGUGGGCUCCGGCGGUGACUUCCCCGUGCCCCACCAGCACCAGGGCCAGAACACGCGCACCCCGAAGUCACCGGUGCCCCAGUCCACACCUAGGCACGCGCACGCGGCUCGGGCUCCUCCAGAGAGACCUUGAUCAUAAUGGAUGACGAUAUUUUGGAAGGAAGGAGUGAAAAUGAAGGAGGAUUCUGGUGCUUGCUGCUUUCUGCUCACCCUGCCAUGGACUGUUUCUCCUCUGUGAUAGCCCCUCUGCCAUGCUGCCCUUCCUUGGAGCCAGAUUAGUGACUAAACUUCUACAAAUGACCUUUCAGGAGCCUCUUUAUUCUGCAAGUAAUUACCUCAUAUCCCAAAUGGCUUUCCAGCUGUCCAUCCAUCUCCACAAAUCAUCUUGGCAUCACAGGGGGUCUUUGGUUGGUGCCACUUCUGAAACAUCAACCGACUCCAUGGAGAAACUGGAUGAAAUGGUGGAAUCCAGACAUCUGAUCUAUUUGAAGUGCCCUUUGAAUUGCCUUAGUCCUCCAAGUGUGGCCUGCGGAACCUCCCUGGGAUCUGCAAGAUGA